GAUGAACGCUGGCGGCGUGCCUAACACAUGCAAGUCGAGCGAAAAGACGAUGAGCUUGUUCUCCUGACGUUAGCGGCGGACGGGUGAGUAACACGUGGAUAGCCUACUAAUAUGACUGGGAUAACUUCGGGAAACAGGUGACACUAAUGGCUAAUAUAUUGUACGGCAUGGUUCAAUAGUGCAAGACGGCUUUGCCGUUACAUAUAGAUGGAUCCGGGUCGCAUUAGCUAGUUGGUAAGGUAACGGCUUACCAAGGCAACGAUGCGUAGCCGACCUGAGAGGGUGAUCGGCCACACUGGAACUGAGACACGGUCCAGACUCCUACGGGAGGCAGCAGUGGGGAAUCUUCGGCAAUGGGCGAAAGCUUGACGGAGCAACGCCGCGUGAGUGAUGAAGGUCUUCGGAUCGUAAAGCUCUGUUGUUGGGGAAGAACAAAAGUAUGUGUAACUAUGCACGUCUUGACGGUACCUAAACAGAAAGCCACGGCUAACUUCGUG
rnacentral:rRNA from 1 species